GCCCCGCCGUUACAUCCACCAUCGUCGCCGCUUCCCCCCGCGUAUGUCGCUCGCGAGCCCCAAAGGUUUGGGCGGCGGCCGAAGGGCCACCGUUCCUAAAGUGAGGCACCGCACUGGCAUCCACGGGCAUUUCCCCCGUUCAGCGACCCGACGACACUCGACUUCACCCGGCAAAAUUUGCCCAGUUUAUGGUUAGUAAAGAGUUAACGGGAAAGCCGACGGCCGAAAAUGUCGUGUGCGGGAGGAUGUUAUUCUCGCAUAACC
rnacentral:misc_RNA from 1 species